rnacentral:rRNA from 1 species
UACGUAGGGGGCUAGCGUUGUCCGGAAUCAUUGGGCGUAAAGCGCGUGUAGGCGGCCCGGUAAGUCCGCUGUGAAAGUCGGGGGCUCAACCCUCGGAUGCCGGUGGAUACUGUCGGGCUAGAGUGCGGAUGAGGCGAGUGGAAUUCCUGGUGUAGCGGUGAAAUGCGCAGAUAUCAGGAGGAACACCAAUUGCGAAGGCAGCUCGCUGGGACGUUACUGACGCUGAGACGCGAAAGCGUGGGGAGCAAACAGG